CACAACAAAAACAGGCCUCUCUUUAUCUGUUUCUCUUUAGCUAUGGUUCGAUCCCCUUUUGCUCAACAGACUUGGCACUCGAGCCCACUCUGCUUCAUGAUGGUGUCGGAAGGCGACCAUUGCUGGCUCUCCAUUCCGUAAUUCAUCAAUUCAGUGUCAGUUUUGAAGGUCACUCCUCUACUUGGACGCUCGUCUUGAUGCUUCAUUUUGAUUUAGUUUCUGGCCAUGGAAGACCUCGCAAUAACCUACUAGUAAGCUGUGGAAAGGGCAAUGAAAGACCUGAAAAUUACUUGGAGGAUGAGUCUGAGUGAGAAAUGAUGAUAAUAACAGUGAUAGAUGAGAAUGAGAAUCGAGGUGAACUUAACGAGUGCAAUGGUAAAACCCUGUCAGCUUUUGAGUCUAUACUGAAGAACAUGAUGCGUAAGGUGACAAAUUGGGCUUGACUUUUGGGGUUGUGGUUGUGGAUUACGAUGGGUUGUAGUCACAACAAAAGCAGUUCAGGCUGCAACUUUUGUUGUUACCUAAUAUGCAUAGAUCUCUUCCACCGAGUAAAGUGUGGGUUUGAGAAUCCUAAACUUAUAGCAUAAUGAUUUGGUUAAACACAAUUCUAAACUUGUUGGGGGCUUCUAUGUUGCUUUUUUGGAAUUGUUUUUGGAGGUUGGCACUUGGGCCUAAGUUGCUAUUGAAAUUAAGCUAUUUUUGAGAUUUUCUGAAUCCAAAUAUCCAUUGCCUUGCAUGUGAUUUAGCUACUAUUUAUCCUGUUGAGGUUUUUCCAUAUUUGAAGUUUUCUAGAUCGUUGAAACGUAGAUUGGUCUUCUGUCUGCGGCAUUUGAUUAUCUGUUUUAUAGUUCUGACUUAGAUUAUGUGCUGAAUUGGGAAUAGUUUGAUAGGGUCAUAUUGUCGCGCAGGUUGCAUUUAUGAUGUAUAUGUGAAAACCAU